GGGGACAAAGAUUAACCAGCCACCGAGUGGCUCCGUUUAUGAAGUGAUGUGACCCCAUCCAUCACUUACUGAAGCAGAUGGAAACACUUCUUUGGGAUGAGACUUUGUAGAAAUGUUUCCCAGCAGGCGUAGAAGCAAGCUGGCUGCACACUGGAGAAAACAACUGGGAGGUGGCCCACCAGGGAGUAGAACUUGGGACGAAUGACCUGGUGUGAGGAAGAGAGGAAGAGGCAUGAAAAACCUUUUCCUAAUGAGGUAACAACAGAAAAUAUGUUUUGGCAGCUGGACAGGUCUGUGAAAACCCAGGCAAAAUAUAAAUGGGGUAAGAAUUGCUGCCAGGCUUGGGGACAGUGCUAUUCCCAGAUUUGUGUGCAGAACUAAGAUUUUUUUUGUCCAGGAGCAUGAUCUUUUUCCUUCAAAGCCACCCAUCAGCCUUCACAGGGUGGUGAGGAGUCCCUGGCAUGUGCAGGAGGGCACAGAGGAGGUUCCUGGGAGCUGUGGUGGCUCUCCAUCUCCCCCACAUUCUCAUGAAACCUGGACAGACAUAGAAAGAUCUUGAAAAGCACCCAAGGGCAUCCAACUCACUUUUCAUCAAGGAGAGCAGAACGGGCACCUGGAUGGCACCCAGGGAGGCCACAGGGAUGGGGGCAGAUGGCUGAGCAGGCUCUGGGCUCCAGGGACAGAGGAAGGUGCUUCUGCAGAGCAAAGGCUGGGUGGGAAGCCACAGACAGCUGGCUAAAAAAUGCCAAAUGCUGAGCUGUUCCUGGUUUAUUUAUUUAUUUUGUUAUUUAAUUUCUUAAAAAGUAAAAAUUGUCCAGACAUCUUGCAAGAUCUGGGGCAAUGGGAUUAAAAAGCAUAUAUUAUCACUCCCACUUUUUUGAAAGCAAGAGUCUGCAGGUAUCUUCUGAGAGCAGGGUUCCCUUUUCCAGAUGUGCUAAGCUGACCUUAGCUGCAUCAAGCCCAGGAAUCAUCCCCUGCUCACCAGGACUUGGGUCCAGGUUGUCUUCUGCAGCCAGUGCCAUGUCCUUUUCCACCUGGAAAGUACCUUCUUUGGCUCCAGCAGCAACUCAUCCCCCUUCUUGGAGCUGGACCAGUGGGCAACCACAGACAGGAGUGGCCCCAAGACAAAGGAGGAGGAAGCUUGUAAUCCAAUGGUUGGACCAUUCCCUGGCUGGCUUCAAGUGUGUGCUGCCUGGACACUCCAUUUGUUGUUUUGCACCUCACUGGAAGGGGAUGAGAGCUAAUGGUCCCUGCAAGGACAUCAGUGUGAGCACUGGGGACAAACUGUGCUAUGAGACUAAAAUGGCUUUUUUCCCUUGUCUGCCAUCGUUGAAGGAUUUUUCUGUGACAAACUCUUGAGCACUAAUAGACCGUCUGGUAGCAGUGGAAGAAGUAGCAGUGUAAUUUCUCGUAGCUCUGGGCAAAAUCAUUUAUAUUAAAAUUAAAAACCACAGGAGCUCAUUUACAAAUUUUUGCCAACUGAAGCUCAGAAGACACAAGGAAGAGACUCCUCAGAAGCUUACUUCAACCACAGAUCCCAACAGGAGAGGAUCCAGCACUGCAGUGACAAGAUCCAUGCACCAGUGUGGGAUUCAAAUGGAGUCAACUUCACUGCAAAUCAAGUUGUCAGGCAAGUCCCCCAGUAUCUCUUUCCCUCCCACAGCACAGUCUCCACACUAUCAUUGCUUCAGGCAUCUCUAGCCUGCCCAUCUCCUGCUGAAGUCAUUUAAAGGAGUGCCAAACAUGCCAGCCCGAAUGUGUCACCCUCACCUUGCACCUCAGCGCCCUCAAAAAAAUUCCUGGUGCCUUCAGCAGAAGUCUGUGGAUGAGCAGAGAAGGGAAGGUGCUGGCAGUGACUACAGGCUGUUUGGUGUUGAGUCCCAGGCCAGGGAUCUGCAGUCCACAAUUACGAGCUGAAGGAAAAACCUGAGGAGCAAAUGCCUUCCCCAAAGUUACCCGCUGUUCCCAGGUGGGGGGUGGGAGUGAUGUUCCCCUGGCUACACCGAGACCUGAAAUUCUCCUAUUCUGGAACAGAUAUCUCAGGUCACCUUGAGGAAGGUAUUUAAUCUCCCAGUGUGUCCAUUCCCCAAAUGAAAGACAGAAAUAGCAGCACUGCCUUCCUUCCAGCGGAGUAAGUGCAUUAAAGAUUGCGAGGUGAUGGGAGCCCUGGAAGGGUCUCGAUGGAAAAGAUUCAUUUGAAUACAUUUGUUGUGCAUUACUCACUCAGCCCCGAGUUUUAAUCUUCUCCUCCUCUCCAUCAUUGUAAUCUAAAUUUCCUUGAGCUCUCUCACUGGAGCUCAGUCCCAGUUUAAUCCCCGCCUCAUUUGAGUGAUUUCUCCAAUUUCUCCUUCAGCAAAUGGUGAGGCUUAUGUUAGCCCUCAUCUCUCCUCUCAGUCUAUCACAGGAGAGCUGUGAAUGCUCCCUCCACAGGGAGCACCAGUGGUUUAUUUGGGAGCUUGUGCAACUUCCCGGAAUAAUUUCUCUUCUGUUUUUCCAGUCUAGUGACUUGUGGUUCACAGCCUUUUCCAGACCUGCUGAACCAUCUCGUGUUGGGGGGGUUGGAAGGCAGUUUUCCAACAAAGCAGCAGCAGCAGCCUGCCAUUCCUCCUCACUCCCAUGGGAUGUUUUGAUCCGGGCAGAGGCAUGUGGGGCACUCCUUGCUCAUGCUGAUAGAAGUGCUGUGUUUUGCAGAGAAAACAACUGCAAGCACUAUGUCACCCAAGAUAACAGGUAAAGCAUCAUACAGAAGACAGCCUUGGUCCUCCUUCACCUCAGGCUUGAUGUGCAUCAGCAUCUCCUCAUCUCCCUCAGGACAUGAGCACUGCCAGGGAAGAACUGAGAAGGGGAACGUCAGCUAAGGGAAUAUGGAUGGAAAUCCUCUUCUGCUGUUCACUCAACUCUGAAGCUCAUGGAAAUAUUUUACAGUUCCAAGAAAAUGGAUGGUUACAAUUUUUAAAAUUACCAUUUCUCCAAAUUUCCAACUGGUUCCUUUCUCUGGUGCAUUCCUCUAGCAAGAGGAGAGGGAGAGACCAGCCAUAAGCAGAUGAAACCUUUUCUUCCAUAGCUCAGAUGCCAACUCUCCAUCUCCUCAGCACCCAGAGCAGGCUGUCUGUGCUGGACUCAGAGUUGUCUCAUCAGACUUGCAUUUCAGCAUUGCCACCUGACAUGUUAUGACAAGCUUUUAACUUUUGAGCAGCGGUGCAUGGAAACAUGUCACUGCUUUGGGAGCAGCACAGCACAGGCUGCCAAAUAUAGCUCCUGCCUCAGUGGUGUCAGCCCCUCUGAGGCAGACACCCAUCCCAGCCACGGCACCCCACGGGUGAAGAAGCCAGGACGCUUCAAGUGGCCUAAACGGACCCGAGGCAAACAAUUUUCUGCAUGACCUCCAACAAGCACACUUGAGUGACACAGCAAAGAAGGCUUCUCAGAACAAAUUGCCCCUGCUUUCCCAGCUGACCAGUGCAUUGCUGUGGGUUGUUCUCUGCUGUGCUGCUGCAGUGGAUCCGUUGUGCUCCGAGGAGAUGGUCACCUUUAAAAGAGCUGGUUCCUGGUGGUGCCAAGCACCCCUCAGUGCUCAGCCCACACCAUUGCUUCAUCACAAGAAGUGACCACAGCAGGUAAGCAGCACUUUAACCACCUCUGUGAGCUCAGGGUGCACUUGGGAGAUGCCUUCAGUGUUGACAGUGGCCAUUCAAGUGUUGAGAUAUGCAGUUUCUAGAGGCGCUGAGCAGCUGAAGUUCACAGCCAUUUUCUGGAACAGAUUUCUCAGAUAGGCUGUGAAGUCUCCCUCACUGGAGAUGGAGGCAAUCCUGUGCUAUGUGCCUUAGGAUGAGCCUGCUUGAGCAGGGAGAUGGGACCAGAUGACCCACCGUGGUCCCUUAAUACCUGACUCAUUCUGUGAUUCUGUGAUUCUCUGCAUUAAUGAGCACUCAGUACUUCUGAAAACCUGCAUUAAUUAGCCUCUUUGACAUUUUAAACAACCUUUACCUUCACCUGAGAGUGCAACUGCAGUAAUUAGAGCAGGCCAGCACUGAGGGAAAGCAGCGUGACCCAGUCUGUGUCCCUACAGCUGAGACUUCUUCACUCCUUCACCAGUGUGGCCUUACCCAUGUGUGACCACAGUCUGAGAGUGAGUUGGCACAAGCCAAAUCCAAGCUAGGGAGUGUCCUUGGCACAAAACCAGCCUUAUAUGACCCCCAAAUAGGGCUUAGACCCUGGACAUGUUCAACACAGGUGAGUUCUUGAAGAUCAGGAUGGGCCAUGGGAAGCUGUGUGCUGCAAACCCCUCUAUCCUUAUGCAGCAUGAAAAGGGGUGGGUUGGUCAUUACCAGGUUCCAAUGACAAACCCCAGGAAAAAUCUCACUGCUUUGUUGCUCUCUGAAUUUUCAGGAAGGAAAAAUGUGGAAAUUAAUCCCUGCUCUCCCAGCACUCCCAAAUCCAUCAUUGCAACGCUGCUGGCUUUCUCCCAGCCAAAGGCCAGCCACAAUUAUCUUCAUUUUUAAUGGGUUAUGAUGGGCUUUUCUGUGAUUCAUUUGAAUACUCCUUGGGCCCAGCUCAAUUUUCUACCAACAUCAGUUCCAAGCCAGGCCUUGGAGUCAUCUAAUGAGGCCAAGAAGCUACAGAAAAAUUUAGAGCAAACGGGAAAAAAGAAACUUUGGUGACAGGUCGCUCACAGUUUUGAAGAGCAAGAGCCAUCCUCCCUGGCAGGCUGCCCUCUUCCUCCCUUCUCUCUGUAGUCUGUCCUACAACAAUGGGAGAUAACUCAGUGGCAGAUCCCUCCCCUGGACUGAUAAAAGGGGGUUUAAUUUACCAUUGUAUUGUCUUGGCACUGCAGAGCAAUAUUAGAAUGAUGACUCUCCUCACACUCAAUACACUUCCCAGCCUUAUUUAUAAACUUUAAAAAAAAAGGCAGUGAGGAUUCGUUAUCCUUUUGAUGAAAAUGGCACAUAUGUCUUGAAAUUUCUCUUAUUUAACACCCACAAAUAUUUUGUCUGAUGCUCUAUCUUCCAUUAAAAAAUUUUAAAAAGUGUAGUUUUCCUGAGGUUAACCUCCUGUUUUCUUAGGAAAAGAAAAAUGAAAAAGCAAAAUUAUCACAUCUGUAGAUGGGAAAGCAGAGGCAAAAUGAGGGCAAGAGACCUGUUCUGCAGAGCAGGAAAAAGAUCACAUCACUGAUUAUCACAGUAGUAAUUUGAUCACAAGUCCUUUAACUUUGAGGGCGGAUUAGCUAAUGAUGCAAUUAGCAAGGAAAAUAUCCAUAUUGCUGCUUGAAAUGUGCUGGGCAAAUCUGUCACUGAUUUUGUUAUGCAUCUGUCUACCUACAGCAGGAAUCAGUGCAGUUUAGAAAAUCCUUUUUGCUUACCCAUAUCCUUUGAAGUUAAAAAAGAAAAAACACCUUCAUGGGCUCUUUCCCUGAGCCCCAGCAUCGAGGCCAGGGCAGGAUGGACUUUGUUCUCAUCAGCAUGGUAGAAAAAUAUACAUUUUUUUAUUCUUAUUUCCUGAAAGAAAAAAAAUGGCUUUUUAUAUAAGGUUGCUCUGCCUUUUGUUUUGUCAGAUUCUCCUCAAAAACUCCUGCAUUCUUUGUCCAGUGUUGACCACGCUUGCUGGAAGCACUGAGGUCUCGGCAGUAAUUAUGUCCAUAUGAGUUUUGUGUAGUUUAGUCAUAGAUAGGAGAGGCAGGAGACAGUGCCUGAGGGAAGGAGCAAGCCUUGGCAAAAAGCCUUUGGAAAUCUGGAAAAGUUGGGAGGGUCUGAAAACAAAGCAAAACCCAGAAAACAGAAGAUGAGCCCAGCGUAGUGUCCAUGCGUGGCUGGUGCCAUUGCAUUUGGCUGAGAAGGGCUCACCAGCAACUCCUGGGAAUGAUCUACUGGUGAGAAAUAUCCAUCUACUGAUUUUAAGAACCCAUUAAUGUUAGAAAUUAGUCAAAGUGAGGAAAAGACAAACAAAAGUCAACCUUUUGUGUGAUUCUGAUAGCUCCAAUUUCAGAGUUAGAAAAGGAGGGGUUUCAUAGGUGUACAAAUCUCCAAAACUUCUGAGGUCCAAGGGUUCCUCCUCUCAGUCUCAGCCUCUGUCUCCUGCAGGACAACUGGCUGGAGAGAGGCAAGGAGUGAUUUUUAUUUGUGAUGCUUUUCACUGAACCAUAAUGGGAGGUGGUACAAGUGAGACCAGGAGGGUGGCGGCUCUUUGGUUUUGACUGACGCUCUCUGACAGCUGCCAAACCCCCCAUAAUUGGGGUUUCUAAUUGGGACAGGGAAACAAAUGCCUGUGUGCUAAUCCUAUUAGAGAGGAAGGCUUAAGCCUGGGUGUCUGUCAGCACCAACCUGUUCCCCCAGGCCUUGGUAGCACUGACUUCUUAGCCAAAGCUUCCUGCUGUGUAUGAAGUAUUGAGCAGAGCAAAGCCUGAGCUCUGCUGCUCAGGCUGGCUCCAGGACACAGAGGAUGAGGUCACCAAGGUCACCAUGUCAUCACUGCCAGCCCAGGUAUUAGAACAAGGAGGAGAGAGCUUGACUGUGCCUUCACCACAGCCCUGCCUUAGGACUGACUGCCAAAAUGGAGCCGUGCCCUGCAUGCCAUUGUCUGCACCUCAGCACAGAGAGGACGUGCAAACCUGUUGAGGAAACUGCUAUCUCCUGCCUGAAGUUUCCCUGGAAGCAGCCACUUUGGGAAGACUGCAUUUGUUGUCCAUCAGCUGCACCAUGUCCUAUGGGAAUUUAAAUACCCCAGAUUUGGGUUGAUCCUGAGCAGAGGCCAGUAAAGAGACAUUACAGAGCAGAUGGAUCCAGGCAAAGCUGAUUUGGAGAGCAGACAUGUCUAACAGCAUUUCAUUUUCCACUACUAAAAUUGCAUGUUGACAGAUUUCAAAUUUCCAACUCCCAGUAGCCUGCUUGGAAGUGGUAUGUCUUUAUCAGACCAGUUAUGGCCCUUCUGGAAUGUGAGUCUCACUGGCUUCAUCCAAACCUUGUGUUUGGAGUACAUUCCUGAUGAAAGCAAAUUGGGCCUUUGGGGAAGGAGGGGCUGCAAAGCAUUUCCUAAAGCACUUUCUACUUGCGUUGUGAGAAAAUACACCUGAAGGAUGAGGCAGGAAUUAGGACUGAGACAAAUGGGAUUUUGGUGGGUCAAUUCUACUUUGAGAAUAUAAGAAAUGUAGCAAGCCCAAGUGAUGAGCCUGAGGUAGCCAGAGGGUUUGACACAGAGGUUUCACCCUUCCAGAAAUAUAAGGCGUGAACUUAAAGCCACUGUUAAUUUGCUGACAUCUUUUUAUUUCAGAAAUGCCUUGGAGCUGUUUUCUUCAAUCAUUUUGGAAUGCGAACCGAAAAAAAAGCCAUUCAGGCUGAACCAGAGGGAUAAACUGCCCAUCUCCCCAGCGUAAUAAAUACCAGUUCAAACACAAAUGAAAUCAUCUCUCGCCAGACAGAACCUACAAAUGUUGUGCUGUAGACUUUCUGCUGCCACCCACACAAGAAGCCAUCAGGCAGGAAAUAAGGACAUGAAAAACAGGUUCCUGCAGUAGUAAAGCAGAGCUGGUUUGAUGGCUGACGCAGGAUGACGCCAGCACCGAGCUCCGAGGAGGAAAGUGUAGAUGCAUCUGAGUCACCUUCCUCCUGGCACCAUCAGCCUCGGUUUAAACAUAAAAUAUUUUGUAGCUGUUGUUUCUACUGCUGAAAUUCUUUCUCUGCAGAGAUUUGGACACGUCUUGUGUGCGAAUGGUAUCAGCUGGGUUUGAGCUGCUGCUGGGGAAAGCACCGUCCUCACCCGUCUCAAGGUGUGGGAUUUGGCUUGCCCAGGUGAUGCUGCUGAUGGAUGUAGAGAGAGGGGAUAUAAAGAGGGGUUAUAAAUGCUCCCCCAGAGUUACAGCUGGGUGGUGUGGAGAUGGUAUAGGGUAUCCUCUUCCCCUGCACAGCUUACUUCCAAGAAAGCUGCAGAGGAUCUCUUUGUGGUUUCCUUCCCCAUCAUCUCCAGCUCCCCUUCGAAGUGUUUCAUGGUGUCUGAAUGCAGCCCUGUCUCUGGGAGGAUGAUGAAGUUCAAGGUGAUGGCCUGCUCUAGCUAAUGCCAUGGGAGAGCUCAGGCUUCCCAGCCCUCCCUGCAAAGCCCACCAGCAGCAUAGUCCUGGAGGAGCACAGCUUGCUGCUCCAGAGGGGAGUUUCCCAAAGGAUACUAAGGCUCAGAGUUCUUGCAGGACUUCUUCAAUGCCCCCUGGGGAAGUUGCUGCCUCAGAGAAGCUGGAGAGAGGAAAGGCUGUGCCGUGCAGCAAAUGGCUGGAGCACAGAGAUGCUUCAACCCAGUUGUUUGCCAUGUGAAAUUCCACAGCCCUGAUGGCAUCAGCAAGUGUUACCUUGACCACUAAAGGCUCUGGGCUUCAGCAGGCAAAAUACCAUUUCCAAUGGAAUAUGAGCCCCAAGUUCUCAAAGAGGUGAAUCAUUAAACUACCUUAUCCAUCAGUUUUCUUCAAAACACCAGUAAUUAAGAGCCAAAAGCACAGUGGAAGCAUUUAAGAAUCUGGCCAGCAGCUCAUGCUCCUGUGGAUGCCACACGUGCUGUGUAUCACCCCAGUGUUUCCAGACAUGCCCAGCUCCUGGGCUAAACUGGCUUGCUGCAGCUGGGCUCUGCUUAAGCCCUGCAGAGCAUCCACUUUACACCUAGGAAUCAAGUCCUAGAUUAUUUUUCCUCCCAAAUGCUCAAGCUGGAAAACUCAUGAAAGGUGAGCAAUACAUGAAAUGUUGAGAUCUAAUACUGGCACUACAGGGAUCAAAAUGUUUUACAGUGUGAUG